rnacentral:rRNA from 1 species
UGUAAGCGUAUACCAAAGUUGUUGCAGUUAAAACGCUCGGAGUCGGAAUUUGGCAGUUCCGGAUGUGUGCACGUCGUGUGCGCACUUCGCGGGGAUUGCUUUUGUGGUCUUGCGUAGGAUGAGGCACUUUUAUUAGUGAACGUCCUCACGCAACCACUUUUUACUGUGAGAAAAUCAGAGUGCUCAAAGCAGGCAUUUGCCGUGAAUGUAUUAGCAUGGAAUAAUAGAAUAGGACUUGGUUCUAUUUUGUUGGUUUGUUGGGACUGAGUAAUGAUUAAGAGGGACAGUUGGGGGCAUUUGUAUUUCGGUGCUAGAGGUGAAAUUCUUAGAUUACCGAAAGACAAACUGCUGCGAAAGCGUCUGCCAAGGAUGUUUUCAUUGA